GUGGGGAAUUUUGGACAAUGGGCGCAAGCCUGAUCCAGCAAUGCCGCGUGCAGGAAGAAGGCCUUCGGGUUGUAAACUGCUUUUGUACGGAACGAAACGGUCCUGGUUAAUACCUGGGGCUAAUGACGGUACCGUAAGAAUAAGCACCGGCUAACUACGUGCCAGCAGCCGCGGUAAUACGUAGGGUGCGAGCGUUAAUCGGAAUUACUGGGCGUAAAGCGUGCGCAUGCGGUGCUGUAAGACAGGCGUGAAAUCCCCGGGCUCAACCUGGGAAUUGCGCUUGUGACUGCAGUGCUGGAGUACGGCAGAGGGGGAUGGAAUUCCGCGUGUAGCAGUGAAAUGCGUAGAUAUGCGGAGGAACACCGAUGGCGAAGGCAGUCCCCUGGGCCUGUACUGACGCUCAUGCACGAAAGCGUGGGGAGCAAACAGGAUUAGAAACCCUUGUAGUCC
rnacentral:rRNA from 1 species